GUCUAUGGCCAUACCACCCUACACACCUGAUCGCAUCUGAUCUCAGAAGCUAAGCAGGGUCGGGCCUGGUUAGUACUUGGGUGGGAAAAAGAUCUUCAGAAGAGACUGCUCAGAGACAAGCAGUUUGGAGACA
rnacentral:rRNA from 1 species